UACGGGAAGGCAGCAGUGGGGAAUAUUGCACAAUGGGCGCAAGCCUGAUGCAGCCAUGCCGCGUGUAUGAAGAAGGCCUUCGGGUUGUAAAGUACUUUCAGUCGUGAGGAAGGUGUUAAGGUUAAUAACCUUAGCAAUUGACGUUAGCGACAGAAGAAGCACCGGCUAACUCCGUGCCAGCAGCCGCGGUAAUACGGAGGGUGCGAGCGUUAAUCGGAAUUACUGGGCGUAAAGGGCACGCAGGCGGUUAAUUAAGUUGGAUGUGAAAUCCCCGGGCUUAACCUGGGAAUGGCAUUCAAGACUGGUUAGCUAGAGUCUUGUAGAGGGGGUAGAAUUCCAUGUGUAGCGGUGAAAUGCGUAGAGAUGUGGAGGAAUACCGGUGGCGAAGGCGGCCCCUGGACAAAAGACUGACGCUCAUGUGCGAAAGCGUGGGGAGCAAACAGGGAUUAGAUACC
rnacentral:rRNA from 1 species